rnacentral:rRNA from 1 species
UACGUAGGUGGCAAGCGUUGUCCGGAUUUACUGGGCGUAAAGAGCGCGCAGGCGGUCGUUUAAGUCGAAUGUGAGAGCCCCCGGCUCAACUGGGGAGGGUCAUUCGAUACUGAUCGACUUGAAGGCAGGAGAGGGAAGUGGAAUUCCGGGUGUAGUGGUGAAAUGCGUAGAUAUCCGGAGGAACACCAGUGGCGAAGGCGACUUCCUGGCCUGUUCUUGACGCUGAGGCGCGAAAGCUGGGGGAGCAAACGGG